UUGAUAGUGAUCGGGGUUUGAUCUAGGGAAGAAAAAUAAUGUAGGGAACGAUAUAUUUAGAACAUAACGAUGUUAAAUAGUUUCAUGUAAGUGAAAAUGAAUUUUAUUGAUGAAUAAGAUCGAAUACAAUGAAUUGAACUAGAUCGAGUGAUACAAACCAGAUCAGUAAAGAAAGAAUCUAAAAGUGGGAAGACAACAAGAUCGAUGUAAGUGUGUAGCUCUUUCU
rnacentral:lncRNA from 1 species